rnacentral:rRNA from 1 species
CGNGUGUGAAGAAGCCUGAGGGUUGUAAAGCACUUCAAUAGGAAGGAAUACCUAUCGGUUAAUACCCGGUAGACUGACAUUACCUAUACAAGAAGCACCGGCUAACUCCGUGCCAGCAGCCGCGGUAAUACGGAGGGUGCAAGCGUUAAUCGGAAUUACUGGGCGUAAAGCGUGCGUAGGCGGUUAUUUAAGUCAGAUGUGAAAGCCCUGGGCUUAACCUGGGAACUGCAUUUGAUACUGGAUGACUAGAGUUGAGUAGAGGAGAGUGGAAUUUCAGGUGUAGCGGUGAAAUGCGUAGAGAUCUGAAGGAACACCAGUGGCGAAGGCGGCUCUCUGGACUCAAACUGACGCUGAGGUACGAAAGCGUGGGUAGCAAACAGGAUUAGAUACCCUGGUAGUCCACGCCGUAAACGAUGUCAACUAACCGUUGGGUUCUUUAAGAACUUAGUGGUGGAGCUAACGUAUUAAGUUGACCGCCUGGGGAGUACGGCCGCAAGGCUAAAACUCAAAUGAAUUGACGGGGGCCCGCACAAGCGGUGGAGCAUGUGGUUUAAUUCGAUGCAACGCGAAGAACCUUACCUACCCUUGACAUGUAGCGAAUCCUUUAGAGAUAGAGGAGUGCCUUCGGGAACGCUAACACAGGU